rnacentral:snoRNA from 1 species
ACCCUCCCAGAUUCCUUACCCAUCAGACCUGAGCACUGGUCUGAGUGGUUAGAAACGGAGGAGAGUGGAAGGAAAACUGACUUAAAUUUUGGGAGACACAAGCUCACUUCAAACGAAC